rnacentral:rRNA from 1 species
GUGGUGUCGUGCUUAACGGUCGCAAUGAAUAGUUGUGCUAAGGUAGCGCAGUCAAUUGUCCUUUAAUUGGGGAAAGGAAUGAAAGGGUUGACGAGGGGGAGGCUGUCUUUGUAAUAUAAUUUGAAAUUUUCUUUUACGUGAAAAGACUUGAAUUUUAAAAUAAGAAGAGAAGACCCCGGCGAGCUUGUUAAGGGUUGUUAAAUGAAAAUGACCAUUGAGGUUUGUUGGGGCAACGCAAAGGGAAGAAAACUCCUUUGAACGUGAUAAGGAUCCACUAAGAGUGAAUAAAGCAAAAGCUACCGCGGGGAUAACAGCGCAAUUUUCUUAGAGAGUUCAUAUCGAAGAGAAAGUUUGCGACCUCGAUGUUGGAUUAAGAUUUCCUUUUGGUGCAGGAGUUAAAAAGGUGGGACUGUUCGUCCUUUAAAAUUUU